AAUCAACGCUGGCGGCGUGCCUCAGACAUGCAAGUCGAACGAUUAAAGCCCUCUUCGGAGGGUGCAUAAAGUGGCGCACGGGUGAGUAACACGUAAGUAAUCUACCUUCGAGUGGGGAAUAACGUUCGGAAACGAACGCUAAUACCGCAUAAUGCAGCGGCAUCUAUGUUGACAGUUGUUAAAGAUUUAGCGCUUGAAGA
rnacentral:rRNA from 1 species